UGAGGAAUAUUGGUCAAUGGGCGAGAGCCUGAACCAGCCAAGUAGCGUGCAGGAUGACGGCCCUCUGGGUUGUAAACUGCUUUUAUGUUGGGAUAAAGUGCGUGACGUGUCAUGCAUUGCAGGUACCACAUGAAUAAGGACCGGCCAAUUCCGUGCCAGCAGCCGCGGUAAUACGGAAGGUCCGGGCGUUAUCCGGACUUAUUGGGUUUAAAGGGAGCGUAGGCUGUCUAUUAAUCGUGUUGUGAAAUUUACCGGCUCAACCGGUGGCUUGCAGCGCGAACUGGUCGACUUGAGUAUGCAGGAAAUAGGCGGAGUUCAUGGGGUAGCGGUGAAAUGCUUAGAUAUCAUGACGAACUCCGAUUGCGCAGGCAGCUUACUGUAGCAUAACUGACGCUGAUGCUCGAAAGUGCGGGUAUCAAACAGG
rnacentral:rRNA from 1 species